rnacentral:rRNA from 1 species
AUGACAACCAGGGUUACGAUCGGGGAAGAAAAAACUGCAAAGUUUUGGACAUGCAAUUGGCUGGGAGGGAUCCUCUUUGCAAUUCCUUCCCUGUUUUGUUCAGGCACUCAAGAAGGAAGACAAGGUCGAUCGGUAGCGGAGGCCCUCAAAGAUGAUCAGUGGAUCAGAGAUGUUAGGCAUGGAAGCUUGGAAAAUAUAGUGUCCGAGGUAGUCUCUCUUGCUAGACUGAUCCGAGAACAAGGUCAAGUUCUUGCAGAGCACCAACAAGACAGGAUCAGAUGGACAACGAGCGACAACGGCAUCUACUCCACCAGUACGGCGUACAAAACACAAUUCAGUGGCACCCCCUCCACACACAUGAAGAGCACAAUCUGGAAGGCAUGGGCCCCUGCCAAGAUCAAGAUCUCCUCUUGGCUGCUUCACUUAGAUCGUUUAUGGUGCAACGAUAGGCUUCAGCGCCGCGGAUGGCCAAACUCCUACUUCUGCCACUUCUGUAGAAGAAAUCUGGAAACGUCAGUUCAUCUUUUCAGGAAUUGUACUAUCUCCAGAGAAGUGUGGAUCGCAGUUGCAUCAUGGAAAGAAUGUGCCUCACUAACCCCCCAGCAAAGGGAGCAAACAUCCACACCGGCGGCGACCAAGCAAAUCAUGUCCCGCACAAGAAAAGAGGGAAAAAAAGGAGUUCGAAGCAUGAUCAUGGCUGCAACCUGGGAGCUCUGGAACACAAGGAACAACAGCGUCUUCAGAGAGAAGGAAGUGAAGGCGUCGGACAUCACCAGGGCGAUCAGGGAAAACCUAGAGCAAUGGCGGAUCGCUGAAGCCUCCGUCCGGGGAUUUUGCCGCGAGAUAAAACCUGCAGCCCGAGAGCCAGGGUUGGGGAGGGGGAGGGGAAACCACCCCUCAUGA